rnacentral:rRNA from 1 species
GUCUAUGGCCAUGCCACUCUGAACAAGCCCAGUGUCUGAUCUGGGAAGCUAAGUAGGUUGGGCCUGGUUAGUACUUGGAUGGGAGACCACCUAGGAAGACCAGGUGCUGUAGGCA